GAUGAACGCUGGCGGCGUGCCUAAUACAUGCAAGUCGAGCGAAAAGAUGAGGAGCUUGCGCCCCUGACGUUAGCGGCGGACGGGUGAGUAACACGUGGAUAACCUACCUAUAAGACUGGGAUAAUAUCGGGAAACCGGAGCUAAUACCGGAUAAUAUAUCGAACCGCAUGGUUCAAUAGUGAAAGACGGUUUUGCUGUCACUUAUAGAUGGAUCCGCGCCGCAUUAGCUAGUUGGUAAGGUAACGGCUUAGCAAGGCAACGAUGCGUAGCCGACCUGAGAGGGUGAUCGGCCACACUGGAACUGAGACACGGUCCAGACUCCUACGGGAGGCAGCAGUAGGGAAUCUUCCGCAAUGGGCGAAAGCUUGACGGAGCAACGCCGCGUGAGUGAUGAAGGUCUUCGGAUCGUAAAGCUCUGUUGUUAGGAAAGAACAAAUGUGUAAGUAACUAUGCACGUCUUGACGGUACCUAAUGAAUAAGCCACGGCUAACUCCGUG
rnacentral:rRNA from 1 species